AGCAGCUGCGGUAAUUCCAGCUCCAAUAGCGUAUAUUAAAGUUGUUGCAGUUAAAAAGCUCGUAGUUGAAUUUCGGGGUCAGUAGGUCGGUCGUGCCACUGGUAUGAACUGGUUUUACUGAUUCCUCCCUCUUGAAGAACUGUAAUGCCAUUAAUUUGGUGUUGCAGGGAAUCAGGACUGUUACUUUGAAAAAAUUAGAGUGUUUAAAGCAGGCUUUAGCUUGAAUACAUUAGCAUGGAAUAAUGAAAUAGGACGUUUGAUCCUAUUUUGUUGGUUUCUAGGAUUGACGUAAUGAUUAAUAGGGAUAGUUGGGGGCAUUAGUAUUCAAUUGUCAGAGGUGAAAUUCUUGGAUUUAUUGAAGACUAACUACUGCGAAAGCAUUUGCCAAGGAUGUUUUCAUUAAUCAAGAACGAAAGUUAGGGGAUCGAAGACGAUCAGAUACCGUCGUAGUCUUAACCAUAAACUAUGCCGACUAGGGAUCGGAUGAUGUUAAUUUUUUAAUGACUCA
rnacentral:rRNA from 2 species